rnacentral:tRNA from 1 species
GCGGGGGUCGCCAAACAUGAGGGCAAAGCCAGGUCAACGGCGCAGGACUGAGGCUCCUGUCCCGUAGGGGUUCGUGGGUUCAAAUCCCACCCCCCGCACCA